UACGGAGGGAGCUAGCGUUGUUCGGAAUUACUGGGCGUAAAGCGCGCGUAGGCGGCUUUGUAAGUUAGAGGUGAAAGCCCGGGGCUCAACCCCGGAAUUGCCUUUAAGACUGCAUCGCUUGAAUCCGGGAGAGGUGAGUGGAAUUCCGAGUGUAGAGGUGAAAUUCGUAGAUAUUAGGAAGAACACCGGUGGCGAAGGCGGCCCACUGGUCCGGUACUGACGCUGAGGUGCGAAAGCGUGGGGAGCAAACAGG
rnacentral:rRNA from 1 species